rnacentral:lncRNA from 1 species
UGGGGUAUUUAGGAUUUAUAAAUGUAAAACUUGAUUGUGAAUGAACUUAUUGUAUAUGUAUACCCUGCGCUCGUCAAGUUUUUUGCACCGUUGCCGGGGAAAAUUUGUCAGUAUCGGUGCUAAGAAUAACUUUAUUAGUUUAGACAUUUUUACUUUUUUUUUUGUUUUUGUUGUGUCUAGUAUCUUGUUAGUUGUGUUUAGCAUCUUGUGAGUCUUUAUUUGUUUGUUUUGUAUGUGUCAAGUCAUCUAUUCUCC